GCCCGAGAGCAAAGCAUCACUGGGUGAAGUCGGGACCGCCCUGCUGGCAGCCCUGCCCCGGGGCGGAGCGGCGCCACCUGGGCUCGCUCGCACCGGUGAGCUCCCAGGACUGACUGGGAUACCGUCUCAAAAGUAGGAGGCGCCGGGCAAUGGCUGCCACGGUGAUGAAUGAAUGGGCGAGUGGCCUUCCAGGAGCGAGACGGUGCUGGGCAGGCGGGAGAGUAACACCGCACGGCCCCACGGACCCCACUAGACCCGACCUCUCCUGGGCUCCGCUGCGGCCCAGCGCGCCGCGGAGGGGUGUGGACUGAGCAGCGCGGGAGAGCGGGAGGCGGGGAGAAGUGCGACGGCAGGGGCUGCGGGCGCCGCACGGGCCCGGACCUCACCUGGAUGUUAAAGUCAGUGGGGUAGAGGCUGCGGGCCGUGAUCAGCCACGCCUUGGCUGCCCACAGGUCCUGCGGCACCAGCUCCCGGGCUCGCUGCACCAGGAACUCGCUGUCACCCUGGGCCGACAUGACCCAGGAGCCAGCUAGCCGUCAGCCUAACACCGCCGGACCUUCCGGCCCCGAGACUGCUACCACCGCUGCCGCCGCGGGGAGCCACUGCGCAUGUCUGGAGACGCACGGAGGCGCACGGAGUGGAGCGGGAGCGUAUUCCGGGCUUUGUGAGCAGCCGCCUGCGGUUGGCUCGGCUAGGUUUCCUUUCCCGAGAAACGCUUUUGGGAACCGACUCUGCAGGGUCACCUCAAAACUCUGGAUAAGUGGAUUUCAUUCUUGCGGACUCCAGGGUAACCCCUGGUCAAGUCAAGGAGCAUGCGCAGGACCGGUCUCACAACUUGGUUCCUUCACUUUGGGCCGAGAGUGACGAAUCCAGCCAACUAUGGACUGAACCUCUGAAACUACUACGAGGAAGUGCUAGAAACUGUAGAAGGUGGAGCCUGCUUGAAAAGAGUGGGUCCUUGGAAGUAUCCCAUCAGGGACUGUAUCAUGUCCCCAGCCCCUUCCACUACUCCACCCUGGCUUCCCAGCUUCCACUCUUCAAAUUACCAGCUUAAAUCCUUCCUGGAUGCUGAGACUGACUUGGAACUGCUGCUUUAAUAAAUACAUGUGGGGAGAAUGGUAUGCUCCUGUGCAAUACAAGACAUAUAGAAGAAUGUUCGUAAUAGCAUUAGUCAUUUAUUAUUUACGAAGAUUAAAUGUUGCCAAAUGGCUAUCCAAACAAGUUACGGCAAACUGGGAUCCUAUCAGCUCGUAGAAGAUGGCCAAAUGUGUUCAUCCUCUGCAACGGCAGGUAUUGUCAUCUGAUUCAUCUUUUCCAAUUUAAUCAACCACAGUCUUUUUUUUUUCUUGCCUAAAUAUGCUUUUCUUUAACUCUUAUCAUGGUAGAACAUUUUAAAAUAUGUUUUUUGGCCAUUGUGGAUUUUCUGGGAAGUAUCUUUGCUCAUUAAAAAAAUUGUAGAUCUAAAAAAAAUUGUAAAUCUAGAUUUAAAACAAAUUUGCACUUAUGUUUCCUUAUUAAUUUAAAAAUAUUAUUAGAAAACAGAAUCAUUAAUCUUCUGCUGUUACACGCAUACUUUUUCCAGAAUGCCCUGUAAUCUUCUGAAGAAUUAAGAAAUAAUAUUCUUAUUGUGAAACAGAACAUGGAUAUAGAAAACCACAUAAAGCAAAGUAUAACUUAGUGGCUCAUUCUAAGGUAACCAUCCUUACACCUACUUCACUGGUAAAGAAAUAGAGGUUUCCUCUCCCCAGAAGCCCCUUCCUAUGCCCCCUCACUUCCCCUGCAAGUACUCACUAUCCUGAUUUUUAAAAUAACUUUCUGUGGGCCAGGUGUGGUGGUGCAAGCCAGUGACUCGGGAGGCUGGGACAG